AAGAAAUAUAUAACUGGUUAUUUAAACUGGAGGAGGAAAUAUAAAAACAGAUUUAAUCUAAAAUAAUAUAUAUACAAAAAAUAAAAGUAAUCAAAAUUUUAGAUAAGAAAUUUUUUCUUUUAAAUUUGAUAAACUGCAUGAUUUUGAUAAAUCUGAGACUAAACACAUCUCCUCGGUUAUCAACAGUCUGUGCUACUGAUAGGCUCAAGUCUGCAGUUCCCUGAUAAGUCAGUUGCAGAGUUAAAAGUUCUUGGCAAAGGAAAUAAAAAUCUGGAUAUUUAAUGACGUACAUGGAAGUGUGGACAUGACAUUAUGUGAUUAAAAUUCUCCAUGUAACAUUCCAGAGAAUAGAAUACAUUUAAAGGAUUGUUGUAGAGAUUUCAAAAUGUCACAGGAAUAAAAUUAUAUACUUACAUUCAAAUAAUCAUUCAGAAAAAGGAUUUUGAGGAAUCGCGCUUAACAAUAUAGGACUUUCACUUGAUAGUACUUGAUAUUGGGUGUAACAUUAAAAGACAAUUACAUAAUUGCUUGGAGAUAGACAUCUCAAUUAUGAUAACAAGAACUUUGUAAAUAUAUGUCUACUUUUUAAAGUUUGAAACUUACUAAGGAAGAAGAACAUAACUUUAAGAGAAGAAAACAUCAUUAAUUUGAAUUAAGAAUUUAAAGACGGUAACGCCAGCUGCGUGUUUGAUAGCAAAAUU